rnacentral:lncRNA from 1 species
AAAGAACUGGGUUAUGGAGGAUUGUGAGCCGCCCACUUCAUUCCGUGUCAUUUCUUUCCAGGUUUUGAGGACUUGAGGAAGUGGGACGAGCACCUUCAAGUGUCUCCCCUCUUCCUUGAUGCUUGCUUGUUGUCUGGUGAUUUCAAGUCAGGCUG